GAUGAACGCUAGCUACAGGCUUAACACAUGCAAGUCGAGGGGCAUCACAGUGUAGCAAUACACGGGUGGCGACCGGCGCACGGGUGCGUAACACGUAUCCAAUCUGCCCGUUACUCGGGGAGAGCCUUCUGAAAGGAAGAUUAAUACCCGAUGGCAUGUAUUUCCGGCAUCGGAGAUACAUUAAAGAUUAAUCGGUAACGGAUGAGGAUGCGUACGAUUAGCUGGUUGGCGGGGUAACGGCCCACCAAGGCGACGAUAGUUAGGGGUUCUGCGAGGAAGGUCCCGCACACUGGAACUGAGACACGGUCCAGACUCCUACGGGAGGCAGCAGUGAGGAAUAUUGGUCAAUGGGCGCGAGCCUGAACCAGCCAAGUAGCGUGAAGGAUGACUGCCCUACGGGUUGUAAACUUCUUUUGUUUGGGAAUAAAUGAUACUACGUGUAGUAUUUUGCAUGUACCUUACGAAUAAGCAUCGGCUAAUUCCGUGCCAGCAGCCGCGGUAAUAC
rnacentral:rRNA from 1 species